rnacentral:rRNA from 1 species
UAACUCUAGAGCUAAUACAUGCCUCGAUGCCCUGACCCUCACGGGGAAGGGUGCACUUAUUAGAUCAGAAGCCAACCGUGUUCUGUCGUGGCAACAUGGCUGGACGCGUUGACCUUCUGGUGACUCUGGAUAAUUGUUACAGAUCGCAGUCGGCCUUGAGUCGGCGACGGGUCCUUCAAAUGUCUGCCCUAUCAACUUUCGAUGGUAGGUGACCUGCCUACCAUGGUGAUAACGGGUAACGGGGAAUCAGGGUUCGAUUCCGGAGAGGGAGCCUGAGAAACGGCUACCACUUCCAAGGGAGGCAGCAGGCGCGCAAAUUACCCACUCCCAGUACGGGGAGGUGGUGACGAAAAAUACCGAUGCGGGACUCCUUAAAGAGGCUCCGUAAUCGGAAUGAGUGGACUAUAAAUCCUUUCACGAGGAUCAAUUGGAGGGCAAGUCUGGUGCCAGCAGCCGCGGUAACUCCAGCUCCAAUAGCGUAUAUUAAAGUUGCUGCAGUUAAAAAGCUCGUAGUUGGAUCUCGGUAGCACUGUUGCCUGUUGGUCUUUGGGUGGAUGGUUGCCGUAGCUAGCGUCGUUGUCGUUGCGUGUUACUGCGGGAUGCGGCGUUGGCUGCGGCGGCAGCUGUGCAUUCCAAGCUAGCGGGGUAGCGGUGUGACCUGUAAGCCAUGUCUGUGGUGAAAGCCGCAGGUGUGAGCGAGUGUCGGGCGACGUCCUGCGGUAGUGGGGCUUGUCGGCUCGUUUGCAUGCCUUUGGAUGCCCUUAAAAAGGUGUCUGUGGGCGGAUGGCACGUUUACUUUGAACAAAUUUGAGUGCUCAAAUCAGGCCGAUGUUGCCUGAAAAGUUUUGCAUGGAAUAAUGGAAUAGGACUUCGGUUCUAUUUCGUUGGUUUUCGGAUCCGAAGUAAUGAUCAAAAGAGACAGGCGGGGGCGUUUGUAUGGCUGCGCUAGAGGUGAAAUUCAUGGACCGUAGCCAGACAAACUAAAGCGAAAGCAUUCGUCAAGCAUGUUUUCAUUGGCCAUGAGCGAAAGUCAGAGGCUCGAAGACGAUCAGAUACCGUCCUAGUUCUGACCAUAAACGAUGCCAACUGACGAUCCGUGGUGGUAGUCUGUCAACCUUCCCCACGGGCAGUCCCCGGGAAACCUUUAAGUCUUUGGGUUCCGGGG